UAAUACCUGAUAAGCCCACGGUGUCCUUGGACGCUGCGGGAAAAGGGGGGGACCUUCGGGCCUUCUGUCGUCGGAUGAGUCCGCGUACCAUUAGCUAGUUGGUGGGGUAAAGGCCUACCAAGGCGACGAUGGUUAGCUGGUCUGAGAGGAUGAUCAGCCACACUGGGACUGAGACACGGUCCAGACUCCUACGGGAGGCAGCAGUGGGGAAUUUUGCGCAAUGGGGGAAACCCUGACGCAGCAACGCCGCGUGAGUGAUGAAGGCCUUCGGGUCGCAAAGCUCUGUCAGAGGGAAAGAAGUGUGCCAUGGCUAAUAUCCAUGGCACUUGACGGUACCCUCAAAGGAAGCACCGGCUAACUCCGUGCCAGCAGCCGCGGUAAUACGGAGGGUGCGAGCGUUGUUCGGAAUUAUUGGGCGUAAAGCGCGUGUAGGCGGUUUUUUAAGUCUGAUGUGAAAGCCCUGGGCUCAACCUGGGAAGUGCAUUGGAAACUGGAAGACUUGAGUACGGGAGAGGGCAGUGGAAUUCCUAGUGUAGGAGUGAAAUCCGUAGAUAUUAGGAGGAACACCGGUGGCGAAGGCGACUGCCUGGACCGAUACUGACGCUGAGACGCGAAAGCGUGGGGAGCAAACAGGAUUAGAUACCCUGGUAGUCCACGCCGUAAACGAUGAGUACUAGGUGUCGCGGGUA
rnacentral:rRNA from 1 species